AAAUUUAAAACUUUGUAUUGGAAAUCGCCGUGAAAGUCGGCGGAACUGCCGGUACUGUAUAUCCAGAAAACGAUACAAAAUUUAAGCUCCGAGCAGGGCAGCCGCAGUCCUCUCGUAGAGGACUUUU
rnacentral:ncRNA from 31 species